CAAAUUUAAGAGGAUUUUAACCGUCAAUAUUUUAAAAGCUGACCCCAUUUCAGAUUGCUCCCAAGCUAUUCUACAAACACCACAGACUACUCUAAAAUGGAUUAGGGCUUUUCAAUGCCGGCGCAUAUGAUCAGUUUAUAAAUAACUCAGACAGCGACAUAAAAAGCUUAUCCCUAUGUUGACAAAAUAUGUGCUGCAAUUUAAAGAUCUAGAUUUAAAGUCCAGCUGAGUGUGAC